UAAGGACGCCGCAGCGGUAAAGCGCAGAGCUCGGAGCCAAUCGCCACACCCGUUCUAUCGUAAUCCAGUUUUCAGGUCAAGUCUCCCAGCCAGGAAUGGAUCCCAGGCUGCAAUAACAACACAGAGUCCCAGCCACCAGACAGCCACAUUUGGUGUCUCAUGAAGCCACAGCAGGAAUUUCACUAACCCUCAAGCAAGCAAGUGUGUACUGUCCCUGGGAAGCUGGAAGGCUCGGACCUCGAACUCAAGUCUGGUCUCACUGUGGUUGUUUUUAAACUAAAGCUAUGCAAAGCUGUGGAUUAAACGGUAAAUUUCUAAAUUAAAAAGAAGGGAAAAUGUUUUACCUGGAUUUAAAAACUAGGAGAAGCAUGGGCUCAGGCCAGAAACCAUCCCAACCCUCACUCAGCCAAAACAGAGUGACCUUCACAUUAACACUCCAAAUGCUGCUGCUCCGCCCGCCUGCCUGACUCCCAGGAAGCCGUAUUCUCACCUUAAAUGUUUUCCCAUAAUCACAAUGGGAUUCUGAAGUGUUAAAAAUAACAUUACCAGUUUUGUUCACCUCCCACGCGCAGGAGGCAAUUUCAGCAAUGACAUUUCCAUCAGCUUCAGGUGACUGGUUCUGAUAAUAAAAGAGACUGCACAUUAUAGAAAUUGUGAUAGGAAUUAAUAUAAUGAAUAGUAUGGUCAACUCUGAUUUUUCCACCAAAACAUGCACAGUUGUAUGAAUUAGUUUACUUUCUUCCUAGUGCUUUUUAAUAUUCUUAUUUGUGUGUAAGGUGAUGCCCAGUUUGAGAAUUACAAAAUGAACUCCCACUAGCCAGGUCAAGAGACAGAAAAUCACUACACGGCAUCAUCUUCCCUCAAAAGUGGGCACCAAUGUGACUUUCAUCACCAGUACUUCCCCUGCUCUUCAUUCUGUCACCUAAGGAUGAAUCGUGAAAUGUUUAAUUCAGACAUGAUUUUAAUUUUGUGUGGUAUUUAACAGUUAAAUAAAUCACGUUUAUUUUCUGUCUUAGCACAUUCAGCAACAUGUAAGCAAGA